CUCUGGUCUCAUCGCAUACUCAGUCUCAAUGGGAUUUCCUUAAGAGUCAAAACCCCGACAAUUGCAUGAAGCCGGAAGCUCAGCAAUCUUCUGAGGGCAUCUAUCUUGUUUUCUAAGAAGCAUUUUGGAGGUUUUUCUUUACCUGGAGAAAGCACUGGCUAGAGCUAUCUGGCAUACAAUGUAAAGAAGCUUCACGAAAAAUAAAAGAAAAGUGAAAAUAUAUUUAGCUACAAAUGAUUGUCCUCUUCCCUGAAAAUUACAGAAGAGGAAAGCAACAGUGUGUUCAGCAAGCUGGAACUAAACUGUUACUGAAUGGAGAGUUCCCAUCCUGCCUCAGUGGAAUCAAAGAAAAGAGAAAGGCUCCAAAAUGAACACAAUGCGUGUUAUUUGCUACCAUAAACUGUGCAACUGGUUUCUACUGCUGUGUUGCAAUUGAAUAGUAAUCAGGAGAAGUUACACGUUGUUCUUAGAAAUAAUACAACGAAUCCUGUCAAUCUUAAGUCCUGACACUGAAUUUAACGCUCUCUGUUUAGUCCUACCAUCAAGGAUGAUUUGCAGGUGAAGAAUUCUUGAUAGUCAGAUGCAGACUACGUCUUCAGAUCCUAUGGCCUAAGGUUAUUAAGGUGGGAGAAGCAAAACAAAUGCGGUUCUCAUCCAGUAAUAAUGGAUUUACAAGAAUUUGAAACAAAACUUUCCUUCCAGCUACUGCUUUCAUG
rnacentral:lncRNA from 1 species